AGGCGCCCACCAGUAUAAUGCGGGAAUACAUUUCUGUUUUCAUUUCAUGUCCUAGGUCGCCCACCAGUAUAAUGCGGGAAUACAUUUCUGUUUUUCAUUUCAUGUCCUAGGUCGCCCACCAGUAUAAUGCGGGUAUACAUUUCUGUUUUCAUUUCAUGUCCUAGGUCGCCCACCAGUAUAAUGCGGGUAUACAUUUCAGUUUUUCAUUUCUAGGUCGCCCACCAGUAUAAUGUGGGUAUGCAUUUCUGUUUUUCAUUUC
rnacentral:lncRNA from 1 species